GGGUUGAGCAGAAUAGAUUGGUGGUUGCUGCUCAAGUUCGUGAAACUCUUGUUGAGUGUGGUUUGGAUGAAGAAACGCUGUCGUUUUUUGAAUCUGGGGGUGCUGAAUUGUUGUAUGAAAUUCGGUUGCUUAGUGGUAAGCAACGAACGGAUGCUGCUAGUUUUAUAGUGAGGAAUGGGUUUGAUAUGAAGCAAGCGCAGGAUUUAGCUAGGUCAAUGAAGGAUUUCCCGCGAAGACGAAUCGAUUAUGGUUGGGACAAGUUUACUGGUGAUUCUCCUGGUGAUUGUUUGGCUUUUUGGUUCUUUAGGCUAGCUCAAGAACAUGCUGCUGCAGCUGCUGAGGAUUCGAGGGUUGAGGCAAUGGAGAAGGCACUUGAAGUUGUGGAGACUGAAAGUGCUAGAAAUGUGCUUGUAGAGGUGUUAGAAGGAAAAGGGGUUGAUAAAGAGAGUGUAAUUGAUGAGCAGGUGAAAGUGCCUUUGGUGAGGAUGAAGCUAGGGGAGGUAGCAGAGUCGACGAAAGUAGUGGUUUUGCCUGUUUGCAAGGCGGAGAAGAGGGAGUUUGAGGUGGAGGCAGCGCCAUGGGAAUGUGGUGGUGUGGGGGAGUUUGGUGUAGUGGAGGCAGAGAAGGAUUGGAGGAGAUGGGUAGUUUUGCCUGGAUGGCAACCAAUUGCAGGAUUAGAGAGAGGUGGAGUUGCAGUAUCGUUCAAGAAUGGGAAGCUUUUGCCAUGGAAGGAGAAGAGGAAGUACAAGGAAGAGCCAGUUUUGGUAGUGGCUGAUAGAGGAAGGAAGGAAGUGGUUGUGGAUGAUGGGUUUUACUUGGUGCUUAGUGGUGGCAAUGGGAGCGGUGACGAGGGAUUGAAAGUGGAAAGAGGGUUGAACUUGAAGGAAAUGGGAGUCGAAAUGAGCUUGGGAAUGGUGCUUUUGGUAGUUAGGCCACCAAGAUGGGAAGAUGAAGAUCAACAAAUUGAUGAAGAUUAGGAUGCUGUAAAAAUGCAGCCUUUCUGUAUGCUAUCAAUGGCAAAAAUUUUGAGUAUCACAGUAAGAUAUACAAUGUUGUAUUAACAUUUUUGCAUUAGAAGAAACAGAAUGUACAAAUUCAGGAUUCACUUGUAUUGUUGUGAAGUGAAACUUGAU
rnacentral:misc_RNA from 1 species